GACGAACGCUGGCGGCGUGCUUAACACAUGCAAGUCGAACGCUGAAGCCCUUCGGGGUGGAUGAGUGGCGAACGGGUGAGUAACACGUGGGUAAUCUGCCCUGCACUCUGGGAUAAGCCUUGGAAACGGGGUCUAAUACCGGAUAGGACACAUCGCCGCAUGGUGUGUGUGUGGAAAGUUCCGGCGGUGCAGGGUGGGCCCGCGGCCUGUCAGCUUGUUGGUGGGGUGAUGGCCUACCAAGGCGACGACGGGUAGGCGGCCUGAGAGGGUGACCGGCCACACUGGGACUGGGACACGGGCCAGGAUCCUACGGGAGGCAGCAGUGGGGAAUCUUGCGCAAUGGGCGAAAGCCUGACGCAGCAACGCCGCGUGGGGGAUGACGGCCUUCGGGUUGUAAACCUCUUUCGACCGGGACGAAGGAUUCGUUUGACGGUACCGGUAGAAGAAGCACCGGCUAACUACGUGCCAGCCGCCGCGGUAA
rnacentral:rRNA from 1 species